rnacentral:lncRNA from 1 species
GUGAUCUUUUGGAUCACUUGCCUCCUUAUUAUGAUCACUUUGAUCAUUUGCUCAUCUUCUUUAUUAAGAAGUUAUUUUGAAACCGAUUUAUCUAUACGUUUUAAGCGUAUCCAAGACUUUGUCCUUCUAGGACUUAAUAUGAGCAUUUGCAGUGAGAAUAUAGUUACUUUCUUUGGGUGUAACACGCUUUGCAAUAUGUUGCAAUUGAAUUAUCCUUUUAUGAACUUCAUGUUCAUAUUAUGAUAUUCGAGGAUCUAUAUAUACAAAUCAUAAUUCAUCUCAUGUAACCUUUUCUCAAGUGUUUAUCAUGUCUCCCCCUCAUGUUAGAAAAGCUAUCUUGUUUCCUCAACUUUGAGAGUUCAUCUUUGUGCAUUAUGGUGUUAAUGAAAAUAUAAACCGCACAUCAAUAAUAAGAUGAAAUUAUUU